CACCUGGUUGAUCCUGCCAGUAGUCAUAUGCUUGUCUCAAAGAUUAAGCCAUGCAUGUCUAAGUAUAAGCUUUAAACGGCGAAACUGCGAAUGGCUCAUUAAAACAGUUAUAGUUUAUUUGGUGAUCGAUUACUAUUUGGAUAACCGUAGUAAUUCUAGAGCUAAUACAUGCGUCAAGGCCCGACUUCGGAAGGGCUGCGUUUAUUAGAUACAGAACCAACCUAGGCUCCGCCUAGUCCUUGUUGGUGAUUCAUAAUAACCCGGCGAAUCGCACGGCUUGUCCGGCGAUGGACCAUUCAAGUUUCUGACCUAUCAGCUAUGGACGGUAGGGUAUUGGCCUACCGUGGCGUUGACGGGUAACGGGGAAUUAGGGUUCGAUUCCGGAGAGGGAGCCUGAGAAACGGCUACCACAUCUAAGGAAGGCAGCAGGCGCGCAAAUUACCCAAUCCUGAUACAGGGAGGUAGUGACAAGAAAUAACAAUACAGGGCAAUUCUGUCUUGUAAUUGGAAUGAGUAGAUUUUAAAUCUCUUUACGAGUAUCAAUUGGAGGGCAAGUCUGGUGCCAGCAGCCGCGGUAAUUCCAGCUCCAAUAGCGUAUAUUAAAGUUGUUGCGGUUAAAAAGCUCGUAGUUGGAUUUCUGCCUUGGGCGACCGAUCCACCUUUCCUACGGGAUUGGUUGGUAUCAGGUUUGACCUUGGCUUUUUCUUGGGAUUCGUGCUCACGUACUUAACUGUGCGUUGACCGUGUUCCAAGACUUUUACUUUGAGGAAAUUAGAGUGUUUCAAGCAGGCUUAUGCCAUGAAUACAUUAGCAUGGAAUAAUAGGAUAUGACUUCGGUCAUAUUUGUUG
rnacentral:ncRNA from 1 species